UACGUAGGGGGCAAGCGUUGUCCGGAAUUAUUGGGCGUAAAGCGCGCGCAGGCGGCAGGGAAAGUCUUGUGUCAAAGACCGGAGCUCAACUCCGGGUUGCAUGAGAAACUGUCCAGCUAGAGUGUAGGAGAGGGAAGUGGAAUUCCACGUGUAGCGGUGAAAUGCGUAGAUAUGUGGAGGAACACCAGUGGCGAAGGCGACUUCCUGGCCUAUAACUGACGCUGAGGCGCGAAAGCGUGGGGAGCAAACAGG
rnacentral:rRNA from 1 species